UACGGAGGAUGCGAGCGUUAUCCGGAUUUAUUGGGUUUAAAGGGUGCGUAGGCGGUUCGUUAAGUCAGCGGUAAAAUUGCGGGGCUCAACCCCGUCGAGCCGUUGAAACUGGCAGACUUGAGUUGGCGAGAAGUACGCGGAAUGCGCGGUGUAGCGGUGAAAUGCAUAGAUAUCGCGCAGAACUCCGAUUGCGAAGGCAGCGUACCGGCGCCAGACUGACGCUGAGGCACGAAAGCGUGGGGAGCAAACAGG
rnacentral:rRNA from 1 species